UUGGAAAAAAGGGAAAUACACGUUGUGAAGGAGGAAAAGGUGGAAGCGAAAGAGAAACAGGAAGUGCUGAAGACACAGGACAACAGGAACGUUUCCGAAGGGCCUAAAAUGCUUGAUGAAUUAUGAUUGUUCCAUAGUGUCAUUUCCCUGGGAAAUACUGCUUUUUUGGCUGCCUGUUUCGCCUGGAUCUUCUGCUGCUUUGCUCGAUCAGGAAAGCGUGCCUGGAUGCCUGGACAGUGCUGACCGCAUCCUUUGUGAGGCCCAGUGCAGAAUGAAAAUACAGGCCCCUUGUUUCAAAAGUAGGAAAGAAAGGACAAAGUAGACCUAGACAGCCUACAGACCAAAGAAGAAAAGACCAGCGAACCUGUUC